GAAGCAGAGCUUGCUCUGUGGAUCAGUGGCGAACGGGUGAGUAACACGUGAGCAACCUGCCCUGGACUCUGGGAUAAGCGCUGGAAACGGCGUCUAAUACUGGAUACGAGACGUGGCCGCAUGGUCAACGUUUGGAAAGAUUUUUUGGUUCAGGAUGGGCUCGCGGCCUAUCAGCUUGUUGGUGAGGUAAUGGCUCACCAAGGCGUCGACGGGUAGCCGGCCUGAGAGGGUGACCGGCCACACUGGGACUGAGACACGGCCCAGACUCCUACGGGAGGCAGCAGUGGGGAAUAUUGCACAAUGGGCGAAAGCCUGAUGCAGCAACGCCGCGUGAGGGAUGACGGCCUUCGGGUUGUAAACCUCUUUUAGCAAGGAAGAAGCGAAAGUGACGGUACUUGCAGAAAAAGCGCCGGCUAACUACGUGCCAGCAGCCGCGGUAAUACGUAGGGCGCAAGCGUUAUCCGGAAUUAUUGGGCGUAAAGAGCUCGUAGGCGGUUUGUCGCGUCUGCUGUGAAAACUGGAGGCUCAACCUCCAGCCUGCAGUGGGUACGGGCAGACUAGAGUGCGGUAGGGGAGAUUGGAAUUCCUGGUGUAGCGGUGGAAUGCGCAGAUAUCAGGAGGAACACCGAUGGCGAAGGCAGAUCUCUGGGCCGUAACUGACGCUGAGGAGCGAAAGGGUGGGGAGCAAACAGGCUUAGAUACCCUGGUAGUCCACCCCGUAAACGUUGGGAACUAGUUGUGGGGACCAUUCCACGGUUUCCGUGACGCAGCUAACGCAUUAAGUUCCCCGCCUGGGGAGUACGGCCGCAAGGCUAAAACUCAAAGGAAUUGACGGGGACCCGCACAAGCGGCGGAGCAUGCGGAUUAAUUCGAUGCAACGCGAAGAACCUUACCAAGGCUUGACAUAUACGAGAACGCUGCAGAAAUGUAGAACUCUUU
rnacentral:rRNA from 1 species